UGCUUCCAUCGGCUAUCGGUCAGGCCGCCGGGUUCUCAACCAGGAAAGGCGGGUUCAACUCCCGCUGGAAGUACCAU
rnacentral:tRNA from 1 species